AUUGAACGCUGGCGGAAUGCUUUACACAUGCAAGUCGAACGGCAGCACGGACUUCGGUCUGGUGGCGAGUGGCGAACGGGUGAGUAAUACAUCGGAACGUGCCCAGUCGUGGGGGAUAACGUAGCGAAAGCAAAGCUAAUACCGCAUACGAUCUAAGGAUGAAAGCGGGGGAUCGCAAGAACUCGCGCGAUGGGAGCGGCCGAUGGCAGAUUAGGUAGUUGGUGGGGUAAAGGCCUACCAAGCCGACGAUCUGUAGCUGGUCUGAGAGGACGACCAGCCACACUGGGACUGAGACACGGCCCAGACUCCUACGGGAGGCAGCAGUGGGGAAUUUUGGACAAUGGGCGCAAGCCUGAUCCAGCCAUUCCGCGUGCAGGAUGAAGGCCCUCGGGUUGUAAACUGCUUUUGUACGGAACGAAAAGGCUCUGGUUAAUACCCGGGGCUCAUGACGGUACCGUAAGAAUAAGCACCGGCUAACUACGUGCCAGCCGCCGCCGUAA
rnacentral:rRNA from 1 species